rnacentral:rRNA from 1 species
UAGGGAAUCUCCCACAAUGGGCGCAAGCCUGAUGGAGCAACACCGCGUGAGUGAAGAAGGGUUUCGGCUCGUAAAGCUCUGUUGUUAAAGAAGAACACGUAUGAGAGUAACUGUUCAUACGUUGACGGUAUUUAACCAGAAAGUCACGGCUAACUACGUGCCAG